GAUGAACGCUGGCGGCGUGCCUAAUACAUGCAAGUCGAGCGAACAGACGAGGAGCUUGCUCCUCUGACGUUAGCGGCGGACGGGUGAGUAACACGUGGAUAACCUACCUAUAAGACUGGGAUAACUUCGGGAAACCGGAGCUAAUACCGGAUAAUAUAUUGAGCCGCAUGGUUCAAUAGUGAAAGACGGUUUUGCUGUCACUUAUAGAUGGAUCCGCGCCGCAUUAGCUAGUUGGUAAGGUAACGGCUUACCAAGGCAACGAUGCGUAGCCGACCUGAGAGGGUGAUCGGCCACACUGGAACUGAGACACGGUCCAGACUCCUACGGGAGGCAGCAGUAGGGAAUCUUCCGCAAUGGGCGAGAGCCUGACGGAGCAACGCCGCGUGAGUGAUGAAGGUCUUCGGAUCGUAAAACUCUGUUAUUAGGGAAGAACAAAUGUGUAAGUAACUAUGCACGUCUUGACGGUACCUAAUCAGAAAGCCACGGCUAACUACGUG
rnacentral:rRNA from 1 species